rnacentral:rRNA from 1 species
CGUAGGGGGCGAGCGUUGUCCGGAUUUAUUGGGCGUAAAGAGCGUGUAGGCGGUUCGGUAAGUCUGUCGUGAAAUCCUGGGGCUCAACCCCGGGCGUGCGAUGGAUACUGCCGGGCUAGAGGAUGGUAGAGGCGAGUGGAAUUCCCGGUGUAGCGGUGAAAUGCGCAGAUAUCGGGAGGAACACCAGUAGCGAAGGCGGCUCGCUGGGCCAUUCCUGACGCUGAGACGCGAAAGCUAGGGGAGCGAACAGGAUUAGAUACCCUGGUAGUCCUAGCCGUAAACGAUGGACACUAGGUGUGGGGGGAGUCGAAUCCCUCUGUGCCGCAGCCAACGCGUUAAGUGUCCCGCCUGGGGAGUACGGCCGCAAGGCUA